GACGAACGCUGGCGGCGUGCUUAACACAUGCAAGUCGAACGGAAAGGCCCUGCUUUUGUGGGGUGCUCGAGUGGCGAACGGGUGAGUAACACGUGAGUAACCUGCCCUUGACUUUGGGAUAACUUCAGGAAGCUGGGGCUAAUACCGGAUAGGAGCUCCUGCUGCAUGGUGGGGGUUGGAAAGUUUCGGCGGUUGGGGAUGGACUCGCGGCUUAUCAGCUUGUUGGUGGGGUAGUGGCUUACCAAGGCUUUGACGGGUAGCCGGCCUGAGAGGGUGACCGGCCACAUUGGGACUGAGAUACGGCCCAGACUCCUACGGGAGGCAGCAGUGGGGAAUAUUGCACAAUGGGCGGAAGCCUGAUGCAGCAACGCCGCGUGCGGGAUGACGGCCUUCGGGUUGUAAACCGCUUCCGCCUGUGACGAAGCGUGAGUGACGGUAAUGGGUAAAGAAGCACCGGCUAACUACGUG
rnacentral:rRNA from 1 species